GAUGAACACUGGCGGCGUGCCUAAUACAUGCGAGUCGAGCGAACAGACGAGGAGCUUGCUCCUUCGACGUUAGCGGCGGACGGGUGAGUAACACGUAGGUAACCUACCUAUAAGACUGGGAUAACUUCGGGAAACCGGAGCUAAUACCGGAUAAUAUUUCGAACCGCAUGGUUCGAUAGUGAAAGAUGGCUUUGCUAUCACUUAUAGAUGGACCUGCGCCGUAUUAGCUAGUUGGUAAGGUAACGGCUUACCAAGGCAACGAUACGUAGCCGACCUGAGAGGGUGAUCGGCCACACUGGAACUGAGACACGGUCCAGACUCCUACGGGAGGCAGCAGUAGGGAAUCUUCCGCAAUGGGCGAAAGCCUGACGGAGCAACGCCGCGUGAGUGAUGAAGGUCUUCGGAUCGUAAAACUCUGUUAUUAGGGAAGAACAAACGUGUAAGUAACUGUGCACGUCUUGACGGUACCUAAUCAGAAAGCCACGGCUAACUACGUG
rnacentral:rRNA from 1 species